GGGGGCAUAGCUCAGAGGUAGAGCGCCCGCUUCGCAUGCGGGAAGUCCGGGGUUCAAUCCCCCGUGCCUCCA